rnacentral:rRNA from 1 species
UUUGACCUCAAAUCAGGUAGGACUACCCGCUGAACUUAAGCAUAUCAAUAAGCGGAGGAAAAGAAACUAACAAGGAUUCCCCUAGUAACUGCGAGUGAAGCGGGAAAAGCUCAAAUUUAAAAUCUGGCAGUCUUUUUUUUCUUCUUUGGCUGUCUGAGUUGUAAUCUAGAGAAGUGCUUACCUGCA